rnacentral:rRNA from 1 species
UACGUAGGGGGCGAGCGUUGUCCGGAUUUAUUGGGCGUAAAGAGCGUGUAGGCGGCCAGGUAGGUCUGCUGUGAAAACUCGAGGCUCAACCUCGAGACGUCGGCGGAAACCAUCUGGCUAGAGUCCGGAAGAGGAGAGUGGAAUUCCUGGUGUAGCGGUGGAAUGCGCAGAUAUCAGGAAGAACACCCGUGGCGAAGGCGGCUCUCUGGAACGCAACUGACGCUGAGACGCGAAAGCGUGGGGAGCAAACAGG